rnacentral:rRNA from 1 species
UACGUAGGGUGCGAGCGUUGUCCGGAAUUAUUGGGCGUAAAGGGCUCGUAGGCGGUUUGUCACGUCGGGAGUGAAAACUCAGGGCUUAACCCUGAGCCUGCUUCCGAUACGGGCAGACUAGAGGUAUGCAGGGGAGAAUGGAAUUCCUGGUGUAGCGGUGAAAUGCGCAGAUAUCAGGAGGAACACCGAUUGCGAAGGCAGCUCGCUGGGACGUUACUGACGCUGAGACGCGAAAGCGUGGGGAGCAAACAGG